AGGACGAACGCUGGCGGCGUGCUUAACACAUGCAAGUCGAGCGGUAAGGCCUUUCGGGGUACACGAGCGGCGAACGGGUGAGUAACACGUGGGUGAUCUGCCCUGCACUCUGGGAUAAGCCUGGGAAACUGGGUCUAAUACCGGAUAUGACCUGCUCUCGCAUGGGGGUGGGUGGAAAGAUUUAUCGGUGCAGGAUGGGCCCGCGGCCUAUCAGCUUGUUGGUGGGUAAUGGCCUACCAAGGCGACGACGGGUAGCCGACCUGAGAGGGUGACCGGCCACACUGGGACUGAGACACGGCCCAGACUCCUACGGGAGGCAGCAGGUGGGAAUAUUGCACAAUGGGCGAAAGCCUGAUGCGAGCGACGCCGCGUGAGGAUGAACGGCCGUUCGGGUUGUAAACCCUUCUUUACAGCGAGGGACGAAGCGACGAAGUGACGGUACCUGACAGAAGAAGC
rnacentral:rRNA from 1 species